rnacentral:ncRNA from 1 species
UGCGCUAUCCACUUAGUGUAACUCUAUCUAUGGGUGCGUCAUUGGUAACGAUGAGGUGCUAAGCCAUAGGGACAACAUGGGAAAUCUGCAAGCCUAAAAGCGGAUGGACUG